ensembl:snoRNA SNORA74 Small nucleolar RNA SNORA74
ACCAGCUGCAGGCAACUGCCUAGGUUGCCUUGUACCUAGGCAAGUGUUACGCUGCUGGGAAAAAGGCAGUCAAUAGCUGACAGGCAUUCUGGGACCGAUUAAUGACAAA